UUCUCAGCACAGUAUCAGUGGACAGAACGAUCAUCUAGGAUCUUAAAUGUCAUUGUUGGAGAACCAUUCAUAUACACUGCGAAGUAUGAUUCAGUCAUUUCCAAGGAUCACCUGUGCACAGAACUGUCACAUUGGCUGUAUGAAUGGACCUAUACUUGGACAGUCCUGCCUGGGUUAUUAGGCUACUACUCUUGGGAGUACAGAAGGCCGCAGUGGAGCCAAAGUGUUGGAGGGUCCAGAUGCAGCCAAAGGCCCAGAAGUCAAUGUUGGAGCCAGAGGGACGACAGACCAAGGUGGAGCCGUAGAGACAAUGAACCCCAGCAGAGCCAGAGGGAUUAACAAACCAUCAUCUCAUUCAUUAUGGAAUACCUCAGUGGAGCCAAAGGGUUAGAGGGUCCAGACACAGCCAAAGGUCCAGAAGUUCAUGUUGGAGCCAGGGUGGAGCCAUAGAGACGAGGAACCCCUGCAGAGCCAGAGGGAUUGAGGAACCAUCCCUUUUGUGUUUCCUACACCUGCGCACAUUUUCAAAAAUUUGUUCUUUUUAUUUUCUCUUUCUUUUUCCAUUAAAAUACCUUCAAAAUUAUAUAUGACUUGUUGGAAUCGGACAAAAAAUGACUGAGCUACAGCUGUUUGAAGGCAAUAGAGGCAGCAGAUCUGAUUUUGAGAAAAAUCGAGUUAAAGAUUCCAAAGCAGAAUCACCAAGCAACGUUGCAUAUUUUCCUCCAAUUCUUUUCUUAAUAAUAAUUACUAUAUUAUUAUUAUUAUUAUACACAAUAUAGCUAUUUUUAUUUUAUCUUUGUUA